rnacentral:lncRNA from 1 species
CAUGGGUAUAUGAGCUCAUGGGCUUGAAGCCAAACAUACGUAUAUAUACAUGAAUUGGAAUUUUGCAUUACAUUAAACUGUGAAACAGAGAAAUUGGGCAAAAGCAGUAGCAAUUUUGCUUUUCAGAGAUUUAAUUUUGGGAUGUGAUGAUGCUUUUUUCUUUUUUUCUAGUUAUUUAAUAUGUAUUUUAAGGAAGCUUUUUUGCUAUCCUGUUUCACUUCCUAACAUGCAAUCUAGCCAAUUAAAUCAUGAGUCUGAAACUUCGAGGCCUGGAGUAAGUUCUUUACCGAGGAUUUUGAUUUGAAAUCUAUUUUAUCUGAUGUAAGUAUAUAGCCAC